AAAAACUCUUCUACUUCAAUAUUGUAAGUAUUUCUUUUGAGUAUAAGUAUACUUUAGUGUAGCUAAUAGUGCACGAUUUUCUCAAGAUAAUAUCCGUUAUACCAAGUCAGGUCUAGUUUUCUAUUAAGGUAAAUGAUAUUAUUUUCUUUCAAUACUCAUAAUGGGUAUCAUUUUCUUUCGUACUCCAUAUUAUGUAAGUGAUAUUAUUUCAUUUCAUACUCCUGAAUUUAAACUUACUAUGGUAAGUAUUGUUUCUAUAAUUCCUGAAUUGAUUAGAAAUUCCUUGAGGUUUGCGAUUCAUCUAAUAUCAUUUCACUGAAAUAUUGGUCUGAACUUUCUUAUUAAAUUUUAAUAUUUUCAUUUCGGGAUACUAUUCAUGCUGGGGUACUAUUCAUCUGGGCUACUAUUCAUACCAGAGUACUAUUCAUCUGGGGUACUAUUCAUGCAGGAGUACUAUUCAUGACGAAAUUUAGUUUUUUUUCUUGUCCAAAUUAUAUUUGAAAUAUGAAUCUUAAAUAUCAUUCUUGAAUUGUACUCCAUAAUUGGUGAUCAUAUCGAUAAUUUGGACAUUUUUGAACUCUAGAUAAAUUAAAUUAUAAAUCUCUAAUAUUUAUCAUUGAUCUCACUUGAGUCAUUCUUUAUAUCAUUGUCAUCAUUCUCAUGCUUAUAUUGUGGUGAAAGUUAUCUUUCGCCCGUAGUGCAAAGAUAGACUGUUGAUUGGUAUGAUUAUGACCAGGAAUUGUCUAUUGGUAUAAUCAUGACAUUUAAUGUUACAGAUAAAGGUUUGUGGUGAGAGUCCUCUUUGGCCCGUAGUGCAUAGAUGGACAGGUGUUUGGCAUGAUCAUAACCACUGGUGAUACAAACGAAUAUCUUUGGCCCGUAGUGCAUAGAUAAUUCGUUGUUUUAAAAUAAUUAUUGAUUUGUGUUAUAGGGAUAAAAUAUUGAUGAUGGACUUUUAAAUCAUAGAAAAUAGUAGGCAUCAUGCUCUACUUGACUCUUCUAAUGUGUUGCUAUUUCCACUACAAUUGUUGAUCUAAAACUUGUUGUCCAUUAUAUUUUAUCUGAUUUAUCAUUGUUGAAGGCUAAAGAUAAUUUAUUCCUCAUUGUCUUAGUCAUAAUAUUCUUUAUUAGGCUAGUUGAGCUCACCCUUUUUCCUUUUUGUUCCAUUGUUCUUCUCCGGAAAUGACAGUGUAGCUGGGACUAGUCGGGGAGUAGAGUAAUGGUCCGAGAUAGUUACUAUAGAAGUCUUUACUAUGUUCUGAAAUAGUGUGAUAAUAACUGUAAUAAAGACUUAAUUUGAGUUUGGAUGUUGUCGUAUUAUGUAUGAUGCAAUAUUCGUAUUCAAACUCACAGUAUGUGGUCAUAUUUUGAACGACAAUUUAAUAGUUAUAAAUAGAGAAGUUUGUUUUGGAAUUUUGUAGUAUGUAUUUGGCGACUCAAAAUGGGUUGUGUGGACCUAUUUUUGGGGGCGUCACAUGAACUGUUUCUCAAUUUCGUGUUUGAGAAAGUUAACGACGAUGAGAUUAGAUGUCCUUGUAAGAGAUGUGUGAAUGAAUUGUAGAAGGAAAUGAGUGAUGUCAUGUGCGACCUAUUUGCUUAUGGGUUCAAGCAGGGUUAUACGACAUGGAUCUAUCAUGGGAAACCUGGUUGGAUGAACAUGAAUCAGAACCGAAAUCCAAAGGUGUUGAAACCUUUAACUGUAUUAACAUGAUAGUCAAAGCUUCUAGUUCAUUCUUCUAAUGGAAUACAGACAUGGAUUACGGUAUCAUCGAGCAAGAGCAGAAUAGCGAGGCUAAGGGUUUUUAUGAGUUAUUGCAUGAAUCAGCGACUCCACUAUAUAACGAGCACGAAAAGCACACCGUCUUAUCCAUAAUGACUAAGCUUUUACACUUCAAGAACGAACAUGACUAUAGCGAGAG
rnacentral:lncRNA from 1 species